GGAGAGUAGGCAAAUAUUGGUUUGUUGCGGCAUCCUGCUAAGAUGUUCCGUGUAAAGUGGUGAUGGUUCGAUUCCAUUGCUCUCCG
rnacentral:tRNA from 1 species